CACGUAGGGCGCGAGCGUUGUCCGGAAUUAUUGGGCGUAAAGAGCUCGUAGGCGGCCUGUUGCGUCCGCUGUGAAAGCCCGGGGCUUAACCCCGGGUCUGCAGUGGAUACGGGCAGGCUAGAGAUAGGUAGGGGAGAAUGGAAUUCCCGGUGUAGCGGUGAAAUGCGCAGAUAUCGGGAGGAACACCGGUGGCGAAGGCGGUUCUCUGGGCCUUACCUGACGCUGAGGAGCGAAAGCGUGGGGAGCGAACAGG
rnacentral:rRNA from 1 species